UCCUAGGAUCUUUAGCUCGCUCAGUAGAGCUUGUGACUCUUAAUCUCAGGAUUGUGGGUUGAAACCCCACCUUGGGCA